CAAGGAUCUAUUACAAGAUGCCAAUUCCACCUAUCCCUCAGUUCACGGAUAGCUCUCUAGAACUCCAUAGCUCCUCCAGAAGCACCGAGUUCCAGCUAUUCCGUGUCGAUCCAGUCUCCGACGAUAUCCAAUCCCGAAUCCGACGUUCCUCAGUUCUGCUCAGACGAUCGGAACUCAGUUCUUCAUGGUCCAAUCACCGCAAAAGCUAAGUUCUAUCUACCUUCCUUUGGUUUCCGAUUUCGGUACAGUCAGUAACACUGGUCUCUCGGUCUCUUCCUGGAUUUUCAGAGGCUCCUUCAUCGACUUUCAUCCACCGUCGCCCUCCGGACGCUGUUCGCCGCUGCCGAUCGUCGCCGUUGACCGUCGUACCUCCAUCUCCGACUGCUUUGAGGCGACUAAUAGCUAUUUCCGCCGUCGCCAUACGCUGCCUUAAACUCCACGCCGUGGCCUCUCUGUUUUGCUUUGUUUCCCUACCGAGAAGACCGAAGUGCUCGGAUCUCGCUUGACUUAUUUCUGCUGGAUUUGAUUUCGAUUGUCAACAUCAUAUACGCUUCGUUCGUCAAUCCAUUUUCCGGUUGCUGAUUCAUCUCGUCUUGUUAACCUGAUUCAAUGUUCUCAAUACACACAAACUGUUUGUUAAAAUACCUCUCAGACACUGUUACGAAAUAGCGUAUGUUUUUUGCGCAAUCGGAGGGCCUUUUGGUGCAGAUUAAUCAUUUUGGUAACGCAAAGCUUUGAUUCCAUUUACAUUUCAUUGUUAUCUCAAUUGAAUGUGAACAAAUCUUUUUGUUGCCUUUUUUACUCUGUGUUUCGGCAUGUUCUCGGUGACUGUCAAUGGUGAUCGCCUGUGAAAAACGUCUGAGGGAUGGUGCUGAGUGUCAACCUCUACACUUGUCUGCACCGGUUUG